UACGGAGGGUGCAAGCGUUAUCCGGAUUCACUGGGUUUAAAGGGCGCGUAGGCGGGGAGGUAAGUCGGGUGUGAAAUCCCUCGGCCCAACCGAGGAACUGCGCCCGAGACUGCUUCUCUUGAGUCCCGGAGAGGAAGAUGGAAUUCCCGGUGUAGCGGUGAAAUGUGUAGAGAUCGGGAGGAACACCGGUGGCGAAGGCGGUCUUCUGGACGGUGACUGACGCUGAGGCGCGAAAGCGUGGGGAGCAAACGGG
rnacentral:rRNA from 1 species